rnacentral:lncRNA from 1 species
UGAAAAGAGAGAAAAGAAAAGAGACAAGAUGAAAAAAAGAAGAAGAAAAAAUAAUAAUAGAAAAUAGAGAAAAAUGAGAAAAUUUUUUAAAAAAAAAAAUUGUGAAUAAAGGAGUAAAGAAGAGGAUGAAAUUAGAGAUUUUGGGUGUGAGUAUACUGUGUUUACACUUGUUCCCCAUUGCUCCUCUAUUCCCUUUGGUUU